rnacentral:rRNA from 1 species
AUUGAACGCUGGCGGCAUGCCUUACACAUGCAAGUCGAGCGGCAGCGCGGGGGCAACCCUGGCGGCGAGCGGCGAACGGGUGAGUAAUGCAUCGGAACGUGUCCUCUUGUGGGGGAUAACCAGUCGAAAGACUGGCUAAUACCGCAUGAGAUCGAGAGAUGAAAGCAGGGGACCGCAAGGCCUUGCGCGAGAGGAGCGGCCGAUGCCGGAUUAGCUAGUUGGCGGGGUAAUGGCCCACCAAGGCGACGAUACGUAGCUGGUCUGAGAGGACGACCAGCCACACUGGGACUGAGACACGGCCCAGACUCCUACGGGAGGCAGCAGUGGGGAAUUUUGGACAAUGGGGGCAACCCUGAUCCAGCCAUGCCGCGUGUGUGAAGAAGGCCUUCGGGUUGUAAAGCACUUUCGGCCGGAACGAAAUCGCGCGGGUGAAUAUCCCGCGUGGAUGACGGUACCGGAAGAAGAAGCACCGGCUAACUACGUGCCAGCCGCCGCGGUAA